ACAGGAUGGGUGGCAAGGCGUCACGCUAGUUUCAUAAGCUAGAAUAGAACGGUUCAAUCCCGUUAUCCUGAA
rnacentral:tRNA from 5 species